CUACGGGGCCGCUCCAGUGAGGAAUAUUGCACAAUGGGGGGAACCCUGAUGCAGCAACGCCGCGUGGAGGAUGACGCAUUUCGGCGUGUAAACUCCUUUUAUAUGUCAAGAAAAUGACGGUAGCAUAUGAAUAAGCACCGGCUAACUCCGUGCCAGCAGCCGCGGUAAUACGGAGGGUGCAAGCGUUACUCGGAAUCACUGGGCGUAAAGGACGCGUAGGCGGGUUGGAAAGUCAGGUGUGAAAUCCUACAGCUUAACUGUAGAACUGCACUUGAAACUUCUAAUCUAGAGUAUGGGAGGGGGAGAUGGAAUUAGUGGUGUAGGGGUAAAAUCCGUAGAUAUCACUAGGAAUACCUAAAGCGAAGGCGAUCUCCUGGAACAUUACUGACGCUAAGGCGUGAAAGCGUGGGGAGCAAACAGGAUUAGAUACCCGGGUAGUC
rnacentral:rRNA from 1 species